CCUACGGGAGUCAGCAGUGAGGCAUAUUGGUCAAUGGACGAAAGUCUGAACCAGCCAUGCCGCGUGCAGGAAGACGGCUCUAUGAGUUGUAAACUGCUUUUGUACAAGGGUAAACCUGAAUACGUGUAUUCAGCUGAAAGUACUGUACGAAUAAGGAUCGGCUAACUCCGUGCCAGCAGCCGCGGUAAUACGGAGGAUCCCAGCGUUAUCCGGAUUUAUUGGGUUUAAAGGGUGCGUAGGCGGAUUGAUAAGUUAGAGGUGAAAUGUCCGGGCUCAACUCGGGAACUGCCUCUAAUACUGUUGAUCGAGAGAGUAGAUGCGGUAGGCGGAAUGUAUGGUGUAGCGGUGAAAUGCUUAGAGAUCAUACAGAACACCGAUUGCGAAGGCAGCUUACCAAGCUAUAUCUGACGUUGAGGCACGAAAGCGUGGGGAGCAAACAGGAUUAGAUACCCCUGUAGUC
rnacentral:rRNA from 1 species